rnacentral:lncRNA from 1 species
UUUUUGUAACAUUAAAGGCUACUUAUAUGGGAAAAUGGUAAUUUAACUUUGGAUAUGGGAGAAUGGUAAUAUAGUCCGGCUGGGAUACUAUCGAUAACACCAAGCGUUUGAUGCUAUCGAGUUUUUCGCCGUUAGAUUUAACUAUUUGACUAUUUUCACUCGUUAGAUUAUACUAUUCAACCAAUAACUCACUCAAUAUCAAUAAAGCUCGUUUCUUUUUUUGUCGCAUUUUUUGGCAAACACAUAAUUAAAUUUUUUUACUGAAUAACUAGUUCUAACAU